UACAGAGGUCUCAAGCGUUGUUCGGAUUCAUUGGGCGUAAAGGGUGCGUAGGUGGCGCUGUAAGUCGGGUGUGAAAUUUCGGAGCUUAACUCCGAAACUGCAUUCGAUACUGCGGUGCUUGAGGACUGGAGAGGAGACUGGAAUUCAUGGUGUAGCAGUGAAAUGCGUAGAGACCAUGAGGAAGACCAGUGGCGAAGGCGGGUCUCUGGACAGUUCCUGACACUGAGGCACGAAGGCCAGGGGAGCAAACGGG
rnacentral:rRNA from 1 species